rnacentral:ncRNA from 2 species
GAAAAUUCUGUGAUGAAGAGAGUAGUUCAUUUUGAAAUGGAAAGCGAGUUAGGGAUGGUGGGAGCCUAAUGCAGGUCGGAUGAAUGAAGCGCACUUUGGAGAAAUUUCUUGAAACGUUCAGUAGGGAAUAUCGGGGAGUCACCUCGUUAACAAUGGAAAGUGGCCGCAAUUUGUGGCAACUAGAGUGGUACCACGGGAAUUCAUGCUCUCGUCUCUUAU